GACGAACGCUGGCGGCGUGCUUAACACAUGCAAGUCGAACGGAAAGGCCCUGCUUGCAGGGUACUCGAGUGGCGAACGGGCGAGUAACACGUGGGUGAUCUGCCCUGCACUUCGGGAUAAGCCUGGGAAACUGGGCCUAAUACCGGAUAGGAGCCAUUUUUAGUGUGAUGGUUGGAAAGUUUUUUGGGUGUAGGAUGAGCUCGCGGCCUAUCAGCUUGUUGGUGGGGUAAUGGCCUACCAAGGCGGCGACGGGUAGCCGGCCUGAGAGGGUGGACGGCCACAUUGGGACUGAGGGACGGCCCAGACUCCUACGGGAGGCAGCAGUGGGGAAUAUUGCACAAUGGGCGCAAGCCUGAUGCAGCGACGCCGCGUGGGGGAUGACGGCCUUCGGGUUGUAAACUCCUUUCGCUAGGGACGAAGCUUUUUGUGACGGUACCUAGAUAAGAAGCACCGGCUAACUACGUG
rnacentral:rRNA from 1 species